rnacentral:SRP_RNA from 1 species
ACAAACAGUCUUGAUUUUGCCGCCAUGUUCCACUACGAUAUAGGCUACAAUAGAGGUUGUUAUCGGUUUGUCCAGACCAGGUCCUGCGCGGCAGGACCUCCGAAGCGUGUCAGGCCCUGACGGGAGCAGCACUAAGGAGUCACUCCUGGGUGUCGCAGAUCAGCCUGGCCUGGGCAAAUCCAUGACAAUCUCUUUUUGUUUGU